rnacentral:misc_RNA from 1 species
AAAGCACUGAGGGGAGCCUAGGCUCCCCUCAAGGUUUUUCUGCAUGCUCUGUUUUUAUUAUUGAGGGGCGACCUGUUGUUGUAGUUGUCGGUCGUGACCCGUACCGCGUGUUGUGCGAUCCCCAUGCGGGAUCAAGAGCAAACGUAUUUUUUUGAGCGCUGAUCUGCUUUCAUCAUCGAUCCAACCAGUGGGUAUCUACUGAACGUAGUU